UACGUAGGUGGCAAGCGUUGUCCGGAAUUAUUGGGCGUAAAGCGCGCGCAGGCGGUCCUUUAAGUCUGAUGUGAAAGCCCACGGCUCAACCGUGGAGGGUCAUUGGAAACUGGGGGACUUGAGUGCAGGAGAGAGGAGUGGAAUUCCUGGUGUAGCGGUGAAAUGCGCAGAUAUCAGGAAGAACACCCGUGGCGAAAGCGGCUCUCUGGAACGGUACUGACGCUGAGACGCGAAAGCGUGGGGAGCGAACAGG
rnacentral:rRNA from 1 species